CAGAUUCCGCGUGAAUUAACCCAUCGAAAUUAAAUUCUGGUUAAUGUUACUUGUCUAUUUAGCCAAAAUAAGUAAGUAACAUUAACGAGAAUCAAUUUGACUCCAAAAAUCCUCAAAAUAGGCCUGAAAUGACAAACCCUAGAUCCAAAAUUUGUUGAGCUUCGGUGAGAUUCGAGGGCUUUCGACCAAGGAUUCAAGAUGAGUAAGGUCAGGGGAUUAUCGGGUAUCGAUUUGGGAUCGUUUGGAGAAGUUUGUGUUUUCGGCCGAAAUUUGAUUGAGGAUUCGAGAAGUUCGGCUGUGAUUCGAAUGAAGUAAGGUCAGAUUUGAGAAGAGGGGGAAGAGGAGAUCUUGUGGAGUAAUUUUGGUGGCAUUUGGUGGUUGUCCGCCGCCGUGGACGAUUCCAGGCGGUGGAGCUAGGCGGAGCUAGCUGAAGAGGAAAGGGGAUGGUUCUGUAC
rnacentral:lncRNA from 1 species